rnacentral:pre_miRNA from 1 species
AGAGGAAUUGCUGGGUAAUAUGGUAACUCUGUUUAACUUUUUGAAGAACUGCCAAACUUUUUCCCAAAGUGUCUGCACCAUUUUACAUUCUUACCAGCAAU